UCAAAAUGUACUUAGAGGAUAAAUUGUGAUAAGGUCUCUUAAUCAUUCAGAUGAUCAUAUAACAUGAUACUAAAGUACUCUCCCAUCUUUUCAGAUUUGAGAAUCUAUUAUCCUUCUGCCUAAGUUGAUUCUUUUUAUUCACUUUGUCAUACAUUGGAACCUUUUUCCAAUGUCUCAGAAUUACACUUAAGCUUGUAAGUAUAACCAUAUUUACUGAGCUUUAGUAAAUUAUGACGAAUAANCGAUCUUUAGUGGUGGACUUAAUCAGUGCACAAGAAUGUGUACUCGAUCCCUAAGUCCUUUACUUGACUCACACAUCCAUGUGAACAAGUAAUUAGUCUUAAUUUUCCAAAACUUGAAAGUUCUCAUUCAUCAUGCUAUACAACUUGCAUGAUUCCAAGUUCCGGUCCAAUUGAAACUUGGGUGAUGAGAAUCUUUCCUUAUUUGGUAAAUUUAGACAUUACCACAAAUGAAAGAAUCAAUUUCAUACUUCCACUCUUGCUACUAAUGGAAUCUUAUAAGCAACAAAAAUUUCCACAGAUGCCAUUGUAAGGAUAUUUUAAAAUAAAUAAAAUCAAAAAUUUCCUUUUAUUUUAAAACUUUGCGGAAAAACUAUCCUUACAAUCCAUAUGAAAACUUGUUGUUAUCUAUUCCUAAGCAAUAUCUCAUAACUCCUAAGAAGUAGCUCAAGAAUCCGAUUUUUCAAACUAUGCGAUAGAAAUCCAUCUAUGCGAUCAGAUUCAGCAUAUUCUUUCUUUAAGUUUCUUUACUUUUCUUUGAUUCUUAAAGCAUCACCAUGUGACCCGGUCACAUCAUGUAUCAAGAAUCUUAGAAUAGAAACUUAGCAGAGUUAGAUAGUGGACUUUACUUGAAGUUGUGUCAAACUUAUUGACUUUAACAUCCUUAGGUAAAUUGGCAGCUUCACAACUAAUGCCCCUUUCUUUGGCAAUGGACCCUUGAUAAUGAGACUAUCUUAGACUUAGCCUCUCUCUUUACGAGUUAGUUAACCGAUUUGACUAUGGCCGAUCCCUUUCCAUUGGGAAGAGAGAGCUUUACUGGAUAUCCAAUGUCAUCAUUGUCAAUGUCCAUCAAGUUUUAGGAAGUUGAUCUUAGCAAAUAGAUAAGAUCAUUAAGGGUCUUGUCAUACUCUGUUUCAUAGGAUUCCCAAAGGAACUCACUAGGUGACUUAGAAAGUAGUUGGGCCACCAAAUUUCUCAAGACUUUGACACCCACUCUCCUGGCUUGUCAAUAUGUNUACAUCUCCAAGAUGUGAUCACACAUAGACCUUAGCUUGCCAAUAGGGCUUGAGUGACCUUAAACUUUUCAAGAACUUGUGGGUUAGGGAGAAUAAUUUGAGGAGGUGAAAGAAGUAUGAUUUCCAUGGGACAUCAUCUUCAUUUAGGAAAGCUUGUUUCAAGAGAUUUGGGAAGAUCAUAAAUGUCUAAACCAGACAUCUUUUGGGAGAUAUUCAAGAUAGUUGAUCUUAAGUCCUUAAUAUGACACCCAAUAUGAAAUAUUAAGGCUAGGACCCAACAAACUAUUUUAUAACUUAGAAGAGGGAUGCCGUAAUCCAAGCUAUAAAAUAUUUGAAGGUAGGUGAAUGACGAUUCACCAAUUUUUACCAUGAAAAACAAAAUAAUUAUUAGGUUUUAAUUGGAUUUGAAACUCCUAGAUCUUUUGAGAUUCAUUGAACUUUUCAAUGGCAUGUUUCAAUCUCGAGUGUGCCCUUCAGGUUUGUGACUAGGAUGCCGAGGAUCACAAAACAACGUGUGAAGUAAGCAUGCAAAUAUACUGGGUACCCUUAAUAUUUAACCCUUAAUCGAUGUGUCGGUUAAACAUAUACGCUCCACUGCUACUAUGAUAAAUAUUAAGUUACCCCUUUGCCUACCUUUUUAAGUCCAGGUUAGUGUGCCGGUUAACCACACACGCUCCACUAACGACUUAAGCAAAGUGUAAAGUGUAAUUUCAUGGAUUAGCACCUUAUUCACAUUUUCCUAAGUAACUAAGAUUGGGUAUUAUUAAGAGUUUAGUUACUUAGUAUUUAUCAUUAAUACUUUUAAUGAAGGGAGAAUUAUAGUCCUGUCAAACCCGUUCGGCUAACGACCCUCCACCAGUCAAGCAAGCGGUGGGUGAGAGUGGACACCCAUUAAGUUGCCAUUUUAUAGGCAACAACCUUAUACCCACCUUAUAGACCGGCUUCGUGAAUGAGGCGUACUAGCGGUAAGACUGACUUUACUCUUAUACAUAUAUAUAUUAUUAACUUAUAAUAUUAUAAAGUAUAAGGGUUGAAUUUUAACUUUUAAAAUUCUAAGGGCUAACUUGGAAUUAAAGUAUUCAUAAGUGAAAACUUUACAAAUUCCAAAACUUGAGGGCAAGUUUUGAAACUAUUCAAAACUAAUUAAUUCCAUAACUUAUGUGUUUAAAGUAGUUUUAAUCCAAAAACUCUUCAAGUUCCAUAACUUGAGGACAAGUUAUGGAAGACUUUAAACUAAUAAAAGAAUAUAACUUAUCUUUAUUUUAGAACUUAUGGAAGUAAUUAUGGUUACAUAUUUUUCUUUAAUGAAGUGACUCUUGAACUUCCAUAACUUGAGGACAAGUUAUGGAGUCAUAAAAAAAUUAUUCAAUGACACAAGACUCUUCAUUUUGUAACCAUUGCCAACUCUUAUGAGUUUUAUGAGUCUUUAAUGUGACUCUUCAUGUAACUUGAGGACAAGUUACACAAACACAUUUUAUACUCAACUCUUAGAUUAAAAUGGAUUGAAAACAACUAUUUCACUCAACAUUUCUAUUAAUCUAAGCAACUCAUAAGAACAAGAUAAUUCAAAUCAAACUUUUUCAUGUAAUUAGUCUAAACCUUAAACUAAUACAAAACAUGAAUCUAUUGACAAUUAUCUUUGAAAUUGGAUUAGCAUGAACAUUACCACAUCAAAAACAAGUUUAUAAGUCCAAAAACAUCUUAGGGUAAUGUUCUUAGUCCAAUUCCAGCCAAAAAAGUUGAAUAUAUGAUGUCUGGGGGUCCAACUCGUCGAGUGCAUGAACCAACUCGGCGAGUUGGAUCGUUUUGAUCACUUUUUAGGCAUGGACUCGUCGAGUCUCCUGAUGGACUCGCUGAGUCUGUUGCCCAGACAGCAAACAACUUCGAUUUUUUAAGCAGUUUUGAAAGUAUAACAAGAAAACAAGCAUAGGCUCUGAUACCACUAUUGGGUUUUGAGCAUUCUAACUCUCCUAAGUGUACAUGCAACCCUAAAUACCUUGGAUCUAUUUUUUCUCUAUUAUACAUACAAAUAUGAACAUCCAAGGUAUUAUCCUAAUCUAGCAUACAAAACAAUGAAUAUAACAAGAUAGAAUACAUACCUCUUUGAUGUAGAAUGUCUUCAUGAAGCUUGAGUGCCUAGUGCCUCAAGUGUGACACCUCAAAUGGUUUACACAACACCAAAUACACUUGGAAUGACAUGAGAGAAAUCCACAAUUCAUGAAAUCGGCUAGCCCUUCUUUUACACACACUAGUGGCCGAUUUUGGUGAAUAAUAUGAUGCUUAUAUAGUGUGUUACAAUUAGGGUUACACUAUGUAAACCCUAAUUAUCAUCACCUUUCAUUUCCAUGACCUAUGGGUUAUGUAACCUCCAUGGAGCAUCCUAUGGGUUUAACCCAACUCGAUUAUCCGUGGAGAUUUGGCCCACUAUAUAAGUUAUGGAUGAUUUGCACAAUCAACCCAUAUAUUUAAUUAGUCUUCUUUUGAUCACAUAAUUAAUUCUAAAUUAAUUUUUGAUCAAUACUAAUUAAAUAUAAUUAUUCUUAUUAUUAAUAUACUAGAACUUAUAAUAUAUUAAUAACCAUAAGUCUCUUAUUUCUCUCAUUUAGUCUAUCUAAGUGCAUGAUGCCAUGCAACUCAAAUAAACCAUGCCGGGUCGGGUCAAGUCUUACCAAUUAUAGUUAUGGAGUUAGACUUUAAUCCAACAAAAACAUGAUACUAAAGUAGUCUCCCAUCUUUUCAGAUUUGAGAAACUUUUAUCUUUCUGCCAAAUUUGAUUCUUCCCAUUCAUUUUGCCAUACAUCAUAACUUUUCCAAUGUUUCAGAAUUAUACUUAAACUAUUGAGUAUAACAAUAUUUACUAAACUUUAGUAAAUCAUGAUGAAUAGUCUCAUUGAUCUUUUUGGUGGACUUUGACCUGCACACACCCAGUGUUCCCGAUCCUUUAGUCUUUCACCUAAUUCACAUGUACAUAUGGUCAGGGAAUUAGUCUUAACUUUCCAAAAAAAAUGAAAAUUCUCAUUCAUCAUGCAAUACAACCUGCAUGAUUCCAAGUUUCGGUCCAAUUGAAACUUGGGUGAUAAGAAUCUUUCCUUAUUUGGUAAAUUUAGACACUACCACAGAUGAAAGAAUCAAAUUCAUUAUUGCU
rnacentral:lncRNA from 1 species